AUGCGAUCCUGCGGGCAAUAAAUCAGACACGACAAAUGACAUGCGGUUUGCCGGAGGUUCUCCAAACAAAACACUUUCCGUUUCCCCUCUCGCCGCGGCCCCGCCACGUCUCCCCGCAGCAGCGCGCACCGGACGCGGCGCUCCGCCCGCCCGCCCGCCCCGCGGACCCCGCGCGUCCCGCGGCCUCUCCCCGCCCUCGGGGCGACUCGCGGCCCCGCUCCGGCCCGGCCGCACCUGCGCGGGGCCGCCCCGCUCCCCGCCGCCCGCUGCCCGCCCGGCGGCGCCUACCUGCGGCGGGGGGACCGGCGGCGACCGGAGCGGGGCCGGGGCCGGGGCCGGGGCCGGGGGCGGCGGGGCCGGGGCGGCCGCAGGCGGGCGGCUCCCAGAGGGCGCGGUAGGCGGCGAGGUCGGCGGUUCCCUCGGCGGCGCUAGGGCGGCCCAGCCGCUGCAUGGGCAGCACCAGGGUCAUGGCGGGCGCCGGCUCCCGGCGGCGCGGACCCGCUCAGUCGCUGCCCAUCCUCCGCCGCUGCGGCUGGCACGGCGCGCCGGCACCGACGGGCGCGGGUCUGGUGCGCGUGUUGUGGCGUGCGGGAGGGCGCGGAGCGGCGGGGAUCGCGUUUCUUUCUUCCUCUCUCUCUCCCUCCCUCUCUUCCUUCCUUCCCUUCUUCCCUCCCUCCCUCUCUCUCUCCCUCCCUCCCAGCGGAGAGGAGCACAGACUCCGGCAGUUGUUUCCACUCGCCCCGCUCGGGCCGCGCUGGCUCUGCCUCCAGGCAAAACACACGCACCAAAUUGGCUGCGGCUCCGCGCCGCCGCUGGCGGCCCCGGGGGGCGGCCGGGGCGGGGCGGGGCGGGGGCGGCUGCGGAGCGAACUUCGCGCGGGGCCGACGGCUGAGCGCGGCCGCGGAACAAUGAGCCGGGCGCGGCCCUUCCCCUCCUCCUCCUCCUCCUCCUCCUCUUCCUCCUCCUCUCGGCCCCCCGCGGCGGGACGGGGCCGCGCAGGUGGCAGCGCCCCGCGGGCGGCUCCGCGGAACGCCCCGCGGCGGGAGGGGGGAACGCAGCGUCGGCAUCUGCCGCCAUCGGGCCGUGCCCGGGCAAAGAACCGCGGACGCGGGGAUGGGGAGCCCGUGGGCAGCUCCGGUAGCGCAACGCGGGCCACGCACCCCUCACACCUUCUGUUCCCAGUGGAGUGCUGGCACGAGGAACGCUGGCUGACUACGCUGGCUGAAAGCAGGGCCGAGAGAGCUGCUGAGAGCCGCCGAGCGGUCGCGUGUUUCUUGUUCCUAAGGGUUCUGCUGCCUUUAGAAGCACCCGUGGGCUCCUCUCCUCAGUCUGCGGCGAGGAGCUGCCCACAGGGAGACACUGAAACCCAGCACUCGCCGUCUAGGAAUGAGGGCUGGGGGCAGCUCGUUGCUGCGCCAGGGAGAGGUCAGGAUCCCUCCUCUCGAUGGGUUCAGCGUCCCUUUGUGGGAUUGUUUUAUGAGAACGAAAUCGGGGUCAAGAAUUUUGGCUGUGCCUUCUCUUACAUGUCUCAUCGCCAAUGGGCGCUUCUCUGCUUCAGCAGACACACGGGAGGGAAGGAAGGAAGGAAGGAAGGAAGGAAGGAAGGAAGUGUUGGGACGCCUUUUGCACAGCGCUGCUGAUUUGUCUUGAAGAAGAGGCUGCUCUGGACAGCCUGGAGAGCAGCCGGGCUGCUUCUGCUGUGCGCAGCAGGGACCGAGGCGGGGCAGCCACCUCCCGCUGACAGCUGCCUGCCGUGCGCAUUUGCCGUGCGCUCAGAUGGAACAGAAACAAGGCAUAAAGAACAGAGCUUCCCAAGGAGGAAAAAAAUAUAACGCCCAAAUCCCAAAGCGAGCUGGUUGAAUUCUAGGCAGCCUGAUGUAGCCGUGGUGUUCCUGUUCAUUGCAGGGGAGUUGGACUAGAUGGCCUUCAGAGGUCCCUUCCAACUCUAUGGAUUCUACGAUUCUUCCCAUACGAAUGUUUCGGAGUCUCUUGGCCCCAGUUUGUCGAGGUUCCCCAGUUUUCUUAGCAAGCACAUUUUCAGAGAAAACCUGAAAACAAAUCUUUUGACUUCUUAACAGUUGUGUUUCCUUUGUUUCUGGUUUCCAUAGGUGUACUGAUAGAAAGAGCUUUCCUUUUUUAUGAGGGCUGCUCCAAAAGUAAUGCCUUCUAUCUUAUAAUGUUGGCCCACAGUGUCAGAGGCGGAUACUGGUGGUGUGGCAGUAGAGGUUGAACCUUCCCCCCAAAUAUUCCACUCGGUUUGCAGAGCACUUCAGCAUGCUGGUGGUGAGUGUUGCUCCUGCUGCUGUAGUGACAGCCCCUCUGCUGGGUUACCUUUGGGACAGGUAGGCUCUGCACAGGGGCUGGGUGCGGUUAUGAUGCCUGGAGGUGGAGAGAAGAGGAGCUGACAGCUUCAGGCCAGGCUGAGGCAGCAGAGCUCAAUGUUAUACAUGGGGGCUUCUCCAGCCCCAGAGCAGCUUUCCUUCUUUCAGAGAGGUGUCAAAUACGGCUGCCUCCUGGCAACACAAAUUGGGUGUCUAUGGAGUUUAAUUGUAUCGUGUUCUUUACUCUCUGUCUGCUGAAGAAGGUAAACAGCACAAACAAGAAGUGUUCGGAAACAAAGAGCAAGCUGUCUGCCGCUCAGCCCGCGCUGCUUUCCAUGAAGAAUGAGUGCUAUUAUUAUUCUUUUACAAGUUUCCUUCUAAGGGAAAUAAACACCAAAGGUAGGAUUCCAAGGAAAUGACUCACAAAUAUUGGCAGUGGGCUCUGAAAAUUGGAUCCAGUCUUUGCAGAAGCCCUUAGCAGAACGCUAACCCCUCUCAUUGCAAAAUAAACUCCCAUCCAUGCCACACAGCAGCUCUGAUGUGUGUGUGAAGGGUGGAUGGGGAUGCCAGGGCCCUUUUUUUUUUUUUUUUUUUUUUUUUUUUUUUACUUUUUCCCAAUCCCCUGACAUUGCAUGGGAUGUAGCGUCCAGUAUCUGUGCUCAGCCACCAAGCUGCCCUCCCAGGUGUGCAAAGGUAACCACACACUGCGCCUCACAUUGUAGUUCUUAAUCAGGGACCCCAGGAACCAGGAAAGCAGGCACUAAAGGAUCAGACAGCUGAGCAGAGGCAGCCUGGCUGCAAUACCAUCUGCAAACAGAACCGUCUACUUAGCAUAUUUAUUUCUCAGCUGUUUAAGAUUUUGAAUCAUAAAUGCAUUCUCCGCAUCCCUUGUAAUGCACACGUUCAAAGGCUUCAGCGCUCUCUCAUGUUACUUUUGGGGUUUUGUUUGUUUGUUUUGUUUUUGGCAAUGUAAAUCUGGGUAGACGAGCAACGAAAAUUGCGUCUCUCACACGGAAUUCCUUUGCAGCUCAGUUCUGCUUAGACAGCGCCUUCAGAUUAAAGAAGAUUAAAGAUCAUUACCUUUGCAAACUCCUAUUUAAUCACUCCAAACUGAGAUGAAGCAAACGGGGACUCUGGCAUGGAGUCAGACUUUUUCAGACAGUACAGCAGCACAGCGGGACCGUGCAGAUUCCGUACUUCUCUAUGCAUUGCCACAAUUACCAUCAUCUUUCCUGCUUUGUGAUACACUUGUAGAGAUAUUAUCCCUGCAGUCUGUGGGCCAUCCACGGAGUUCACUGAGUCCCUGACUUUGGCCUCCAUCUGUCAUAAGUGUCUUUCAGGACAAGCAGGAUGAUGCACGGUGUUGGAUUGUUGUACACUGAAUCCAAUUCUGGUUCUAUCAGAAUUCAUUCUUCUUUAAACAAGGUAAUUCUUACAGUAAUGCCAUUGAUAAGGUAUAUAACAAUCACAGAAAUGAUAACACAUUAUAUAGCAGCUAAUACCAUACAACUCAAAUUAUUGACUGUUUUCACGCAGUAUCAAAAUAUUGGCAAAUAGAGGCCUGGUCAAUCCAAAGGGAAACAAACCCACAGGGAUACAGCACUGAGAAGCAUCAGUCCAACCCGGGCACAGCCAGGAGCGGGCCAAGCUCCUAUUGCAGGCCUGGGAGAGGUCUGGACAAGGCCACUGGGGAUCACUCUGAGCUGGAAGGGUCAUUGGCUGUUGAUAACUGGCUCACACAGUUCAUUAUUAAAAGCUGGGGAAACACACCCCACAUGUAUUUAAUAAAUCAGUCUCCGCAGGGUACAUCAUCUUAAAAAAGAAAUCCCAACAGCUAAAAGUCUGGAUGCUGAGGAAUAUACCAUUCGAUUACAAAGUAAAUUAUAUGAGCCUCCUGUGUGUGGUUGUGCUCUCGAAAAGCAUCAGUGGCUUCUUACAGCUCUACGGCAAUGGGAGAGCAAUUUCCUCGCUUAGGGAAGCACAGUAAAUCAGAAGUAAAAGGUUCUUAAAAAAAUAACUAGGUGGCAAUUCAUAAUCCAAGGGGAGGAAAAUGGGUUAAAAAAAGGUAGAGCACAACCAACGACUGAGAACUAAAUUGGUAGGAGAAAUGGUUCUGGGAGCCAGAGUGGGUCGCAGUAUGUCAAACUGUAGGCUGCAUUUGUUGUCUGAAAUUAUUCCAAAAGCAGAAUUAUUCCAAGAGCGAAGGAUAAAUAUCCUUGAAUAAUCCAAACCAAAAAUGAAAUAUAAAUCAGGAGUAUGACUUUGCUGGAUUCCAGGUCUGUGUCAUCUUGAAAGAAUCAACCACUUGCCCAGGUUCUGCUCCCUGUACGCAGGGAAGGCACUGGGGAAUUUCAGGAGUCAGGCUGGGCACUAAAGCUAAUUUUCUUACUCAGUUUCUAUAGUGUAUAUGCUUUUAAAUAGUUGUGUUUUUUUUCUCCCCGGGUCUGAUCCAGGCAAUACAGAACAUCUGUUUGUUUCAAAGCAUACCUGCAUGAAGGAAGUAAUCAGUAAAGCCCAAGAUGAUGUAUCUAAAUGUGAGUGCAGAUUGCAGACCUGGGUUCUGUUCCCCGGGUACCAGGCAGCAGAAGCAGGUUUACCUGUGCCGCCUGGGCAGCUCUGCACACAGGUGUGAGCACUGCAGCCCCAUCCGUGUGCCAGGAGGUACACAUCCACCAUUUUGCAAAUUAUUCUGCAAAAGAUCUGUGAGAUUAAAAAAAAAAAAAAAAAAAAAAAGGAUGAAAAACCCAACAGAUUUGAAUUCAAUGUAGUUCAGUUCAGUUCAGUUUCAUUAAGGGCUUUUCACUUGCUCAGCAGCUGUUUCUUGGCCUUCACAUGAGGGUUAAUACGUGAGGCAGCUACUCCUCCUACAGGUCAGCCACAUUGAGGUCAUGGUUGUGCAGAAAACGCUCCUGGUGUUUUGGGGGUGUGUUUUUCAGUGCCCAGCCAGGUUAUAGGCAGCCUGGUGUAUUCCUAGAGAGAAUCGAGCAUUUGCUGCUUCCCCAUUGCAGAAGAGAUGAAACCAUGAUCACAAUUGUUUGCAUUCAGUAACAAUCCCAUAAAACAUUUUAUAAGAGAUGGCUCUUUAACCUCAAGGCUUUGGCCGAAUUCCAGCUCAGAAACUAUCUUCCUACAAGUUCUCCCAUUAAACUAGAAGCGAUGUAUUUGUCUCCUCCUUUGAACUGCUCUCAGCAGUGGCCUGAGCUGCUCAGAGCUCUGUAGGCUUCAGCAUCACACCGGCUCCGCUCAGGGAUGGCCUAAGGCCAUCCAUGCACCCACUGGGCACAGGGCUACCUACCCAGGUAGUGCUUGUGAAGUGCUUCAAUACACAAUUACGAAAGGAACCAUUCGAGUGAAAAACAUAACUCCACCUUGUGUCCGGAGAAGAAACCAGGUCGGGUUAUGCACAGUGACCUGCCGAGAAAUCCAUUGACAAAGAGCAUCACCGGGGACAAGCAAAGGCUGAAGGUCUGAGUACGUACCACUGCUCUGUGUUCACAGUUUCAAGAUCCACACUCACAUGAAGACAACCUUUCCAUCUUCAGUGCAAGGCAGAAACAUUUGUCUCACGAUGGUUAUAUGGACUGUGAAUUUGUUGAAUCGUUUUACAGCUUUUGUUCUGAGUGCAGCAUUUUCCAGGGAUGUUUAAUUUGGAUUGCCCAGAAUGACAAUGAACAGUUUAAGUGUAUUCUGGUCUUCAGGCUCUCCAUCUAAUAGAUGUUAUGCGGCACGUCUACCUUUUGAGAAAGCUUUCAGCGAGACGUUAAGCAUAAUUAGAGAGGGUGGGAUGGGCGCUAAGGGAAGAACAAUUCCUUGAAAUAUUUCUGGCAGUGAAGCACUUGCCUAAGGGUGGAUCAAUCCGCUCCAUAGAAAAGCCAGAAAGGAAGCGGAGGAGCAGAUCAGCGUGCAAGACGUGUGAUGGGUGGGUUACCAGCACAUUUGCCCAGAAGUGCCUGCUUCAGACUUACCUUCAGCAAUCUCCACCUCUCAGCUUGCUGGUGCUGCCAUGUGGGUCAGACAUCAACACUCCCCUCUCACAGGGCUCUCCUGGGGCCUGGGCACAGGGAGCAGCCCCCCCUGCACAGAGCCCUCAGAGCAACCUGAACCUCCAAACACGUCCUGCUGUAGGACCACUAUUCUGGGGGCAGAAGGGGGAAAACAAUAGGGAUUUUUUUUUUGAGAUUUGGAAGAACCUCCAACUCAACACUGACAGUACAUAGUUUUAAAUGAUGGCAUCCCCAUGUAUUUUCUAAUUGAUUUUUCUGAAAGGAUGAGUUAUACCUCAACUAAGCAGCAAUUUCAAGACAACACUCUGUGAUGUUCCAAACUUAUUUGGAAUCAGUUCUGUCUGCCGCCAUGGUUUUCACUCUCAACAAGUUUGGCAAGAUUUUUUUGAAAUAAGAUGAGAAAAAAGGUUGGAUACGUUCCUUUCAGGCAAUAGCCAACAAUGUAAAAUGCCUCCAUAUCCCUAAGUUUUUUCAGGUGGUGGUUUCAGAGCCAUAUUUAGCCAAGUGCUGACCCUUCCCUGCGUUCUCACUGCCCUCCCUGGGCUGGCACCAGCACUCCUCCGUGCUCAAUCCAGUCACACAGGUAGACUGACCCCACGGAAAACUGCACUUUAAGAUCUUGAUAGGCUUAUCCCGAUCCUUCAGCGGCUCUUGCUGGUGGUGAGAAUCCCAAAGAGACCACACAACCAAGGUAUUCAGCAUUAUCUUUGGUAUCUUCAAGCAGAAAAGAAUUCUUUUGCAUAUAAUACCACAUGCUACAAUUUCUUUAGAACGCUGUAGAGACACUGCUCCGUAGUGUCUUUUAGCAGAAGCUGCACAUCCGCCCUACAGAUUAAUUUCAUUCUGUAGCAGGUCAUUCAGUGCCUGGAUUUAUCAGUGACAUGGAAGAAAACCAGAAUUUUGGUAAUGAAAAUAAGGGACAAGAAGCAUUUUGGCCCAAGAAGGGCCAAAAUAAGGGUCUCAGCUAAGGCUACAAAACCAGUCUGUAUCAAAUGAGAAAUUAAAUGCAAUUCCCACUUUCUUGCCACGUGCUUAGACCAACACACAGCAGCUCACCCUCAUGCUGUUUUAUUUAAAAAGGUGUGUUCAAGAGGCUGGAAAGAGCCUGAUUGCUAUUUCCCAACAAGUGUUGCUACUUUACAACAUAAAACCAGUUUUGUCGAUGGCAAUAGUCUGUGUCUGCUAGCAUGCCUUCUGUGUAGUUCAGUAGAGAAACCAUGUGCUUGGAAAUAAGGAAACAUAUAGAACUACCUCAUCCCGAUUGUCAGCACGGCUGUACACAGAGCAGAUGGCAAAGGCUGAAUGGUUAGUGCUGUUCCCUAGCCUGUUGGCCUGGCACGUAUGCUCCUAAGUGUUUUAGAGUCUCAGAAAGCUGCAACGAGCUGAUGUGAUGAUUUGACCCUGGGGCUUAGAUCUGGGUACAUUUUCAUGACCUCAACCUGUCUGACUGCUUUAGAGCUCUGUUGAACAGUUGAUUUUUUUUCUUUUAAUAAAUACAAGUGGUCCCCAUGCUCUGUAUCUCCUGUUUUCCUAAGAAUACCAGAUGUUUUCUGGUAAGGCAUUAAUUAGCAAAGGCUUGUGACCAACAUUUUAGUCUACUGGUACUUUAAGCCUCAGCCCAAGCAGGUGCAAAUGCUGUGACAUGAUGGAAAAUGUGUUCCUAGCUCCAAUAAUCAAACGGGAUACAAACCUCAUCUCCUUUGGCAGAUUGGUGACUGUUCCCUUUCUUAACUAUUAUACUGCUGCAACAGAACUGAUACAACAGGAUAUACUAUCUCAAGUUUUAAUUACUGAUUAUAGCAUUUCAUAUUAUUAUUUAUUGAGAUGAAUUGGCCCAGUGUUCUGGAUUCCUGCUUACAAUUAAUGUUUAAUCGUAAAGAGUGGCUACAGAGAUUGAACCAUCUUCAUUACAGCUCUGGACUUCCUCAAACAUGAAUGAAAGAUUGAGCUUCCUUAUUUUGAACUAGCAUAAUUAAAGGCAGAAUGUCUUUUUUUUUUCCUUUGCAUAAUGCAAUAAAAUAAUAUGAAAUGCAAUGGGGGGGGUUUAUUAUGCCUCUAAAAUAUACAUAUUAGUUCAACGUGAUUUUACACCAUUUGACAAGAGGAUUUUCAUUAUUAAUAAGAUGAAAUGUAAGGCUUCUAAUUAAGUGGAAAACAAACCGCUGUAAACUACACUCAGAACACACAAACCUAUUAGGUUUUGAAUUUAAUAAUAAAUCAUUUAUCUAAACCCCCAGUGAUUUGUUGCAUGAUCGUACUUGAUGAUAAUUUAUUUCAUUUGUACAUUUUUAGGCUUCCUUGCUUCCUUUUAUCCUUACUAUUCCCAACAGCAAAUCUGAGCUUUUUUUGUUUUUGUUUUUGUUUUUUUACGACCCCUAUGCUAAAAUGCAGCUACUCAAAAUGAUAAGCAGGUAACAAAACGCCUUACUAUUGCUCUCAUUGAUUUUAGAAAAGUAGGGUAAUUUACAAGUAAAACACGCAUCUAAUGUGAAUUGAACACUAAAUUAGAAUUGCACUGCUGGACUCUAAAAACAACAACACCAGAGAGAAAAUGCAGGUUACAGAUUUCAGCAGGAAAAUGAGAGACGGCCCUUACCCAGAGGAGCUUUGGGAAACAAGUAACUAGUGACUUCAAAGAGAUUCUAAAAUAAUACCUGAUGUGGAAUUUGCUGUAUGAAGACAACUAUUCAGAGAGAGCCUUUGACAAGUGAAGGUACAUCUGCAUAGAAAUGAUGCAGUUCGGCUCUGAAACAUGUGCUCCUGCACAACAAGCUAUUUAGGAACCAUGAGCAUUAACCUAAUUCUGUUCAGCUACCUGUGUGGAACACGAGUGACCGAAAGGUGCCACCCAUCGAGCUCAAGUUGGAUUCAGUACAUAGUGUGUAUUAACUCUUUCAGGCUGUGAUUUUUGUAUAGAACAUCGCUGUUCAGAAAUGAACAACUAUUACCAUAUUGACUACAUAUUUCUUUCAUUUCUUCCAUGUUUUCACAGCUUCAUAAAUCCUCAGUUUUUAAAGAAAUAUCUGAUAGCUCACAUGAAUCAUGCUUUAGUAGGUCUUGUACCAUUUUUUUCCCAUAUUGACGAGAUUAUCAAAUACCUAUAACAUUGACUAAAGAAUAUAGACACACAUUAAGUCCUCCUAAAGUUUAACUAGCAAAUAUGUACCAGUCGCCAUAUGGAAUGGCAAGUAUAUUGCCCUUUGAAAAUGCCAGCCUUAAAACUAGCAAGUGCCACAUUAUCCAGUUUGUAGAAGUCCUAGGAUGUGCACAGAUGACAGGGGUGGGUCCAGAUGAUUCACUGGGCUAUGCUCCUUUCACGUGCAGAAAUGGGAAGAAACAAUAGAAACUCUUUACCCCAAGUCUUCCUAGUUUUAGGAUAGGGAUGUCUGCUAAUACAUAGAAAUAUCUAUCUAUCUAUACGUAUCCAGGAACACUGUAAAGCAGAAUUGCCA
rnacentral:lncRNA from 1 species